rnacentral:rRNA from 1 species
GAUGAACGCUGGCGGCGUGCCUAAUACAUGCAAGUCGAGCGAACGGACGAGAAGCUUGCUUCUCUGAUGUUAGCGGCGGACGGGUGAGUAACACGUGGAUAACCUACCUAUAAGACUGGGAUAACUUCGGGAAACCGGAGCUAAUACCGGAUAAUAUUUUGAACCGCAUGGUUCAAAAGUGAAAGACGGUCUUGCUGUCACUUAUAGAUGGAUCCGCGCUGCAUUAGCUAGUUGGUAAGGUAACGGCUUACCAAGGCAACGAUGCAUAGCCGACCUGAGAGGGGGAUAGGCCACACGAGAACUGAGACACGGUCAAGACUCCUACGGGAGGCAGCAGUAGGGAAUCUUCCGCAAUGGGCGAAAGCAUGACGGAGCAACGCCGCGUGAGUGAUGAAGGUCUUCGGAUCGUAAAACUCUGUUAUUAGGGAAGAACAUAUGUGUAAGUAACUGUGCACAUCUUGACGGUACCUAAUCAGAAAGCAACGGCUAACUACGUG